GGACUAUAAACUAUAAAGCAUGCUAUGGGAAAAUGAUUGAGGGAUUGAAAAGAAAUACGUCACUGCGUGCAGACACCGAUGAAGAUGAAUGAACUGCCGACACCAAAAGAGUGCCAGCAGGUAUUAGUUGUAAGCAAGUUCGAAGCAAGCUGUUGGGUAAGAGUGAAAGAUGGGAAUUUCAAAUGAUUUUGAGUGAACAUUUCAGACAAGCUAAGGAAUUGAAAAGUUGAUGAUCUGUCUACAGGCUUAAAAGAUUUUGAGACUUCCAACGUUUACAGCUUUCGCAAUCUGUCCACAAACUGAAAGAGAAAUGAAGAUGAUGGAACAAGUCGAUAAUUUUAUGAGAAUUUAAUCAGCAUGUAUAUCUCAGUUAAGAGUUCAAUGUGCCUGGCUAUUUCCCCUCUAGUUGAUAUCAUGAUAAUUCCAAUGGCUUCCCAUCAAGAUCCUGUGUUUCUUGUAUAUAAUGGAGGGCAUUGUUAGAACAGGAAGGGAGCUCUUCCUCCAGAUCAGAGAACAUGUAGCCUUUAUCUACAGACUUCUCACUCAAAAAUGUUUUCUCAGCUGGACAUCAAUUUGAUUCCUGUCUUCAGCUCGAGGCAGAGGCAACAAUUAAAUCAAAAGGAUCAUCAAUAGGACCUGGACCUUCUUAUUCCACAGCCAUGAAUAUAAAAUACGAUGUUUUGAUUUUAUAGUUUUUGUUUCUGAAUCCACACUUAAAUAUUUCAUUAGAAUGCAGAUUGUGCAGCCACACUUUCUCUGUCAAUAGACUAGAUAAACACAGAA